rnacentral:rRNA from 1 species
GUAGGUGGCAAGCGUUGUCCGGAAUUAUGGGCGUAAAGCGCGCGCAGGCGGGUUCUUUAAGUCUGAUGGUGAAAGCCCACGGGCUCAACCGUGGGAGGGUCAUUGGAAACUGGAGAACUUGAGUACAGAAGAGGAAAGCGGAAUUCCACGUGUAGCGGUGAAAUGCGUAGAGAUGUGGAGGAACACCAGUGGCGAAGGCGGCUUUCUGGUCUGUAACUGACGCUGAGGCGCGAAAGCGUGGGGAGCAAACAGGAUUAGAUACCCUGGUAGUCCACGCCGUAAACGAUGAGUGCUAAGUGUUAGGGGGGUUUCCGCCCCUUAGUGCUGCAGCUAACGCAUUAAGCACUCCGCCUGGGGAGUACGGCCGCAAGGCUG